rnacentral:rRNA from 1 species
GAUGAACGCUGGCGGCGUGCUUAACACAUGCAAGUCGAACGGAAAGGCCCUGCUUUUGUGGGGUGCUCGAGUGGCGAACGGGUGAGUAACACGUGAGUAACCUGCCCUUGACUUUGGGAUAACUUCAGGAAACUGGGGCUAAUACCGGAUAGGAGCUCCUGCUGCAUGGUGGGGGUUGGAAAGUUUCGGCGGUUGGGGAUGGACUCGCGGCUUAUCAGCUUGUUGGUGGGGUAGUGGCUUACCAAGGCUUUGACGGGUAGCCGGCCUGAGAGGGUGACCGGCCACAUUGGGACUGAGAUACGGCCCAGACUCCUACGGGAGGCAGCAGUGGGGAAUAUUACGCAGUGGGCGGAAGCCUGAUGCGGCAACGCCGCGUGCGGGAUGACGGCCUUCGAGUUGUAAACCGCUUUCGCCUGUGACGAAGCGUGAGUGACGGUAAUGGGUAAAAAAGCACCGGCUAACUACGUG